UAGGGAAUUUUGCGCAAUGGGCGAAAGCCUGACGCAGCAACGCCGCGUGAUUGAAGAAGCCCUUCGGGGUGUAAAGAUCUGUCAGUGGGGACGAAACUUGACGGUACCCACAGAGGAAGCACCGGCUAACUCCGUGCCAGCAGCCGCGGUAAUACGGGGGGUGCAAGCGUUGUCCGGAAUCAUUGGGCGUAAAGAGUUCGUAGGUGGUAUGUUAAGUCUGGUGUUAAAGUCAGAAGCUCAACUUCUGUAAGGCACUGGAUACUGGCAAACUAGAAUGCGGUAGAGGUAAAGGGAAUUCCUGGU
rnacentral:rRNA from 1 species